AGCGAACGCUGGCGGCAGGCCUAACACAUGCAAGUCGAACGAAGUCUUCGGACUUAGUGGCGGACGGGUGAGUAACACGUGGGAACGUGCCUUUAGGUUCGGAAUAACUCAGGGAAACUUGUGCUAAUACCGAAUGUGCCCUUCGGGGGAAAGAUUUAUCGCCUUUAGAGCGGCCCGCGUCUGAUUAGCUAGUUGGUGAGGUAAAGGCGCCCCAAGGCUACGAUCAGUAGCUGGUCUGAGAGGAUGACCAGCCACAUUGGGACUGAGAAACGGCCCAAACUCCUACGGGAGGCAGCAGUGGGGAAUCUUGCGCAAUGGGCGAAAGCCUGACGCAGCCAUGCCGCGUGGAUGAUGAAGGUCUUAGGAUUGUAAAAUCCUUUCACCGGUGAAGAUAAUGACUGUAGCCGGAGAAGAAGCCCCGGCUAACUUCGUGCCAGCCGCCGCGUAACAC
rnacentral:rRNA from 1 species